CACACUUCCCUGGCUGGCCCCGCUGUCCAAAACUAGUUUGGUGAGCUCAGGGGGAGAUCAGGCCAGUCUCUGCGAGGCCAGCGGCGGCUCUACCAUCGGGCUGCUGUGAUAACUCUCAACUGUUCGCUGAGGAGCAUCUGCUCUCGAGGAGCUGUUUCACCUUCCUGCUCAUUUUGCAAGCACCCUGCUGAUUUUGCCCGGCAGAGUCAUGCCGUGAACUUUCCAAGCACGGGGUCACACAUGGCACUCACAGAUCAUUCAGAGCAGCCCACGUCCCCCACUCUUCCAGAAGGGGAUUGUUAUUUUCCACUAUCCUGUGAGUCACUGGAGCUUUCUGGAUACAAACUAUGAAUACUGACCUGCAGUGACCUCUUAUGGAAAGCAACAGAAAAUGUCCCACAGGGAACAAACCUACACUGGCCAUGGUAGCAUGUGGGAACUACAUGGCCUUGUGGAGCUGGAUGAACAGUCAAGUAAAACAAACGGAGUAUUGGGUCUAAAUCACCAUGUUAGCCUCAUUCUGUAAGACCAACCACUUUUACAUCGUGCUGUAACAUCCCUAUCCCAGGUCAAAAGAUACUGCAAAGCUCCUGAAAAGCUGAUUUGCCUCCUUGUCUUCAUUAUUCAUUAACUAUUGUCGUGCUUCCCAACUGUAGUUUCCAUCCUAUUUGAAACCUAAGUCUGCCUUCUCCACCAUCUUUGGCA